rnacentral:lncRNA from 1 species
AGUGAUUCUCCUGCCUCAGUCUCCCGAGUAGCUGGGAUUACAGAUGAGAAAAUGGAGUCUUGGAAGGCAAAGUGACACCAUGCUGGAAGAAGAGCAGAGAGGAAUUGGAACCCACUCAGGACCUUGGAAAUCUUCAUCUUUCUGGAAGGGCCAACCAGGCAUUCAUCCUUGGCCUCCACUGGCUCCUUCUCUGUCUCCAAAGAUUUUAAAUAACGUGGCAGGCAAGGCUGCCUGAAGGCUGGGACAAGCGAUGGUCCCUGGGCUCCUCCCCAGAGCUCGACUUCUCCUACGCUGGAGCUGUCUCCACAGGCCCCCCUGUGUACAGUGCAGGAUUGGAAGGAGCACUGGACGGGGAGUCAGUGGAGCAGAUCAUUGAACCUCCUGAUCCGUGGAAGGUGGCUGCUUGCAAAGUUCUGAUGACAUCACAUGGAUGUGUGUUGGCCGGGUAUUCCCUGGGGAAUGAGCUUAGCGCGGAAGCAGAAGAGUUGCAUUUUCUAAACCACCAGCUAAGUGGCAGCUAGACUACAUUGCUAGCCUCCCUUGUAGACAGCGACCUUGGGCCACUUGGCUGAGUUCUGGCCAGCGGAAUGUGGGUAGAAGUGAUGACUGGCGUGCCCACACCUGGCCUGUGACACCUCCUACGCAACAUCCCGUCUGCCGCCCUGUUUUCUGCCAGCCGAAUGAAGAGGAUCCAACAGAGAACUCCGAGGCCCUAGGAGACUGGGGAGGACAAGUUGGAA